rnacentral:rRNA from 1 species
UACGUAGGUGGCAAGCGUUGUCCGGAUUUAUUGGGUUUAAAGGGUGCGUAGGCGGUUUCAUAAGUCAGUGGUGAAAUACGGCAGCUCAACUGUCGAGGUGCCAUUGAUACUGUGAGACUUGAGUACAGACGAGGUAGGCGGAAUUGACGGUGUAGCGGUGAAAUGCUUAGAUAUGACAUAGAACACCAAUUGCGAAGGCAGCUUACUACACAGUUAUUGACGCUGAGGCACGAAAGCGUGGGGAUCAAACAGG